GAACGUUGGACCUGGCACGUCAUCCUGCCCCACCGAGACUCGCAGCUCCCCCCCUCCCCCGUCACUUGCGGGGCUGGGGGAGGGGCUGUUGCCAGGGGCUCGUGGGGAAGGCGUUAACGCCGAGCACGGCACGGCCUCCAUCCCAGCGACUGGAGCAGCGGUUCCCAACCCGCCCGCGAACCCCAGUCACCAGCCCCUCAAGUCUCGCCAACCCCUCCUGAAAACGACCCUUUCCUGGGAUUUUCUCCUUCACCUGAGGACGAACGCAGGGAGCUUGGAGAGAGAAACGUUGUUUUUAAGACCUGCUUAUUGCACACUCCUAUUAGUCAUAAUGACAGUAGGAGUUUUAUUCCAUCGUUAAAAGGGCGACACUCUGCCAAGAUCUCGCUUUCGGAGCUUGUAUCACUGAAUAAGCCUGUUACAAGACCAGGCUCCUGUGUUCAUCAGGGAGUAUCGGCCGUGAAACACUGGGAAGGGAUUGACGACGCCGACUCGGCGUUCCCCCUACUCGAGCAUUCGGGGCUUGAGCAGGCCGGGCAAACAACGCGCCUCACAACGAAGCUUAGACUUGUUCGUCAUCAGCAUUUUCUAAACAAGACUCGCUGCCUGUUUCAUUUUAAAAACCGCCAGAAAUAUCCACCUCCCUUUCCGUUUC